AAGUCGUAACAAGGUUUCCGUAGGUGAACCUGCGGAAGCAUCAUUAACACGUAUCCAAACGUCAAAACCCCGCAAUCUUUGAUAAAUCAUAGCCCGGAAAGUUGUAGUGAUUCAGAGACCUCUGGCUACGUGCGAACAUUGGAACAGUUACAAUCGAGCGGUAGUUCUAUAGGCAAUGUUUCCCCAAGCAGUCAGUGUCGGAAAGUGUCAUUGAUUGUGCAAGGAUAGCGCUUCUACGAUUCCUGUAGACCGUACACUCGGGCAGGAGCUUUGCCAAAGGGUCCCCAUGCCCCCUAAUAACCCCACAGUUUAAUGUGAAGCUCAAUGUAAUACAUUGGGUAAAAAAACCGAACAACUGUUAACAAUGGAUAUCUUGGUUCUC
rnacentral:misc_RNA from 1 species